CUUUCAGCAGUGGAUGUCUAGGCUCGCACAUCGAUGAAGAACGCUGCGAACUGCGAUACGUAAUGCGAAUUGCAGGAUUCAGUGAGUCAUCGAAAUUUUGAACGCAUAUUGCACUUCCGGGUUAGUCCUGGGAGUAUGCCUGUAUCAGUGUCCGUACAUCAAACUUGGCUCUCUUCCUUCCGUGUAGUCGGUGGAUGGAGACGCCAGACGUGAGGUGUCUUGCGGCGUGGCCUUCGGGCUGCCUGCGAGUCCCUUGAAAUGUACUGAACUGUACUUCUCUUUGCUCGAAAAGCGUGACGUUGUUGGUUGUGGAGGCUGCCUGUAUGGCCAGUCGGCGACCGGUUUGUCUGCUGCGGCGUUUAAUGGAGGAGUGUUCGAUUCGCGGUAUGGUUGGCUUCGGCUGAACAAUGCGCUUAUUGGAUGCUUUUCCUGCUGUGGCGGUAUGGGCUGGUGAACCGUAGCUGUGUGAGGCUUGGCUUUUGAACCGGCGGUGUUGUUGCGAAGUAGGGUGGCGGCUUCGGCUGUCGAGGGUCGAUCCAUUUGGGAACUCUGUGUUGUCUCUGCGGCUUGCUGCGGAGGUGGCAUCUCAAUUGGACCUGAUAUCAGGCAAGAUUACCCGCUGAACUUAAGCAUAUCAAUAAGCGGAGGAAAAGAAACUAACAAGGAUUCCCCUAGUAACGGCGAGUGAAGCGGGAAGAGCUCAAGCUUAAAAUCUCCGUGCAAGUUUUGCGCGGCGAAUUGUAGUCUAUAGAGGCGUGGUCAGCGUGGGCGCUUGGGGCAAGUUCCUUGGAAGAGGACAGCAUGGAGGGUGAUACUCCCGUUCAUCCCUGAGUGGCUCGUGCGUACGACCCGUGUUCUUUGAGUCGCGUUGUUUGGGAAUGCAGCGCAAAGUAGGUGGUAAAUUCCAUCUAAAGCUAAAUAUUGGUGCGAGACCGAUAGCGAACAAGUACCGUGAGGGAAAGAUGAAAAGAACUUUGAAAAGAGAGUUAAAGAGUACCUGAAACUGCUGAAAG
rnacentral:ncRNA from 1 species